rnacentral:tRNA from 3 species
GUCACCAAAGUCGCGAUCUGAAAGAGACGUCUCUUUCAGGAAGGGCAAUGCGGGUUCGACUCCCGCUCGUGACA